UGGGGAAUAUUGCACAAUGGGCGCAAGCCUGAUGCAGCCAUGCCGCGUGUGUGAAGAAGGCCUUCGGGUUGUAAAGCACUUUCAGCGAGGAGGAAGGGUUCAGUGUUAAUAGCACUGUUCAUUGACGUUACUCGCAGAAGAACGNCACGGCUAACUCCGUGCCAGCAGCCGCGGUAAUACGGAGGGUGCAAGCGUUAAUCGGAAUUACUGGGCGUAAAGCGCACGCAGGCGGUUUGUUAAGUCAGAUGUGAAAUCCCCGCGCUUAACGUGGGAACUGCAUUUGAAACUGGCAAGCUAGAGUCUUGUAGAGGGGGGUAGAAUUCCAGGUGUAGCGGUGAAAUGCGUAGAGAUCUGAGGCAAUACCGGUGGCGAAGGCGGCCCCCUGGAC
rnacentral:rRNA from 1 species